rnacentral:rRNA from 1 species
AUGGCGGAUGCACCUCUGUACAAGCAGCGCCGCGAGUACACCAGGGAGCUCCACGACGUUGACCUCCACGGCAACCACAAGCUCCACGUCGUUUGCACAAGCAAGGGUGAAGAUGUGAACAAGAUGCUUUCCACGCUCAGGAGGAAGCUCGGCGGAAUGCCCAUCAAACUAGUCGGCGUUGAUGUCGAGUACACGCACUACGUGAAGCUACAGCCAAUGGAACUAGACAAAUUCCUCAUGAAUGGUGAGUACACCUUCGUCAGAUUUGCCAUUGAAGGAGACAAAAGCAAGCUGAAGCUAUCUGGAUUGGGGAUCAACUCUGACAACUACAUUGAUAUUCAGGUGGAAUGGAGAGACCCAUACAAUAAAAAGAAGUUUGACUCUUUGGCUAAUGUUGUCGGCACGAUGAUAGACAUUCACUACCAUGACAUGAAGAAAAAAAUUAACCGCAAGGAGGACCAUACUCUGUGGGGAUUUUGCCCGCUGCCAGAAAAGCUUAUCAAGUAUGCAGCAAUAGAUGCAUUCGCAACAUAUGAGUCAGGGUGA